rnacentral:rRNA from 1 species
GACGAACGCUGGCGGCGUGCUUAACACAUGCAAGUCGAACGGUAAGGCCCUUCGGGGUACACGAGUGGCGAACGGGUGAGUAACACGUGGGUGAUCUGCCCUGCACUUCGGGAUAAGCCUGGGAAACUGGGUCUAAUACCGGAUAGGACCACUGCCUGCAUGGGUGGUGGUGGAAAGCUUUUGCGGUGUGGGAUGGGCCCGCGGCCUAUCAGCUUGUUGGUGGGGUAAUGGCCUACCAAGGCGACGACGGGUAGCCGGCCUGAGAGGGUGACCCGCCACACUGGGACUGAGAUACGGCCCAGACUCCUACGGGAGGCAGCAGUGGGGGAUAGUGCACAAUGGGCGCAAGCCUGAUGCAGCGACGCCGCGUGAGGGAUGACGGCCUUCGGGUUGUAAACCUCUUUCAGUAGGGACGAAGCGCAAGUGACGGUACCUACAGAAGAAGGACCGGCCAACUACGUGCCAGCCGCCGCCGUAA